UACGUAGGAUGCAAGCGUUGUCCGGAAUUAUUGGGCGUAAAGAGCGCGCAGGCGGUUUUACAAGUCAGAUGUGAAAGAGGCCGGCUUAACCGGCAAGGGUCAUUUGAAACUGUAAGACUAGAGUACAGCAGAGGAUAGCGGAAUUCCCGGUGUAGUGGUGAAAUGCGUAGAUAUCGGGAGGAACACCAGUGGCGAAGGCGGCUAUCUGGGCUGUAACUGACGCUGAGGCGCGAAGGCUAGGGUAGCAAACAGG
rnacentral:rRNA from 1 species